GUCCCUGUAGCGCAAUGGAUAGCGCAUUGGACUUUUAAUCCAAAGGGCGUGGAUUCGAUCCCUAUUUGGGAUG